rnacentral:lncRNA from 1 species
GUAAGAUCUACAAAUAAGUCAACAUGACCAAAAUUGUCAGUUGACCCAUUAAGGAGUUAUUGCCCUUUAUAGUCAAUUUUUAACCAUUUUUCUUAAAUUUUAGUAUUCUUUUAAAAAAUCUUCUCCUCUGAAACUACCGGGCCAAAUUUAACCAAACUUGGCCACAAUCAUCAUUUGGGUAUUUUGUUUUAAAAAUGUGUGGCGUGACCCUGCCAACCAACCAAGAUGGCCGCCAUGGCUAAAAAUAGUACAUAGGGGCAAAAUGUAGAUUUUGGCUUAUAUCUCUGAAACCAAAGCAUUUAGAGCAAAUCUGACAUGAUGAAUUAUUUAUCAGGUCAAGGUCUAUCUGCCCUGAAAUUUUCAGACAAAACAGACAACCUGCUGUUGGGUUGCUGCCCCAGAAUUAGUAAUUUUAAGGAAAUUUUGCAGUUUUUUGUUAUUAUCUUGAAUAUUAUAAUAGAUAGAGAUAAACUGUAAACAGCAAAAAUGUUCAGCAAAGUAAGAUCUACAAAUAAGUCAACAUGACCAAAAUUGUCAGUUUACCCC